rnacentral:rRNA from 1 species
AGGACGAACGCUGGCGGCGUGCUUAACACAUGCAAGUCGAGCGAUGAAGUCCUUCGGGGACGGAUUAGCGGCGGACGGGUGAGUAACACGUGGGUAACCUGCCUCAUAGAGGGGAAUAGCCUUUCGAAAGGAAGAUUAAUACCGCAUAAGAUUGUAGUUUCGCAUGAAACAGCAAUUAAAGGAGUAAUCCGCUAUGAGAUGGACCCGCGUCGCAUUAGCUAGUUGGUGAGGUAACGGCUCACCAAGGCGACGAUGCGUAGCCGACCUGAGAGGGUGAUCGGCCACAUUGGGACUGAGACACGGCCCAGACUCCUACGGGAGGCAGCAGUGGGGAAUAUUGCACAAUGGGGGAAACCCUGAUGCAGCAAACCGCCGCGUGAGUGAUGACGGUCUUCGGAUUGUAAAGCUCUGUCUUCAGGGACGAUAAUGACGGUACCUGAGGAGGAAGCCACGGCUAACUACGUGCCAGCCGCAGC